UGUUUGAUGUUCUAACGUGGACCCGUGAUCCGGGUUGCGGACAGUGUCUGGUGGGUAGUUUGACUGGGGCGGUCUCCUCCUAAAGAGUAACGGAGGAGCACGAAGGUUGGCUAAUCCUGGUCGGACAUCAGGAGGUUAGUGCAAUGGCAUAAGCCAGCUUGACUGCGAGCGUGACGGCGCGAGCAGGUGCGAAAGCAGGUCAUAGUGAUCCGGUGGUUCUGAAUGGAAGGGCCAUCGCUCAACGGAUAAAAGGUACUCCGGGGAUAACAGGCUGAUACCGCCCAAGAGUUCAUAUCGACGGCGGUGUUUGGCACCUCGAUGUCGGCUCAUCACAUCCUGGGGCUGAAGUAGGUCCCAAGGGUAUGGCUGUUCGCCAUUUAAAGUGGUACGCGAGCUGGGUUUAGAACGUCGUGAGACAGUUCGGUCCCUAUCUGCCGUGGGCGCUGGAGAACUGAGGGGGGCUGCUCCUAGUACGAGAGGACCGGAGUGGACGCAUCACUGGUGUUCGGGUUGUCAUGCCAAUGGCACUGCCCGGUAGCUAAAUGCGGAAGAGAUAAGUGCUGAAAGCAUCUAAGCACGAAACUUGCCCCGAGAUGAGUUCUC
rnacentral:rRNA from 2 species